GGGGGCGUAAAGGUUUCGACGGAGAAUGGAAAGGGUAGUAAGCGAGUAGAGUGGGCGAAGACUCUUAAAAAGUCGCAAAAAAUAUAAACGCUAACAAUAAUAGACACCUAUCAUACGCUGCAUAGUAUAACUAUCGGCUCAUAAGUUAUAUAGAACCACGAUAUAUAGGCUUAUGUAAAUUUAGUGGUGAACAUCAUAGAGAGAUUCUCUGGCUCUAUGAGGUAUAAAGAGAAUACCUAUACUAUAUCUUGUUUAUUGGAGAUAUUAUAGGAAAAUAAAUAAUAAACUACACUCGUAGAAAGCUAUCUGGAAUAUUUUUCGGACAGGGGUUCAAUUCCCCUCGCCUCCACCA
rnacentral:tmRNA from 1 species